rnacentral:tRNA from 1 species
UCCCCAGUAGCUCAGUUGGCAGAGCAAGUGGCUGUUAACCACUGGGUCCGGUUCGAGUCCGUGCUGGGGAGCCA